GGAUCUGAAGUCAAUGAAAAAUUCUUCAUAGCUCUUUUUGUUGGGCUUCCCCAGAAGAUGACACUGAAAGGAAGGUUUGGAUGCAAGUUGUUCAUUUAGGAGGAGAUCUCAGAAGCACAAAGUAUUUCCUUGGGUCAGGACCUCCAAGUCCUCCCCUAACUAGCCACUGUGCCUUCUCCAGGUAGAAACAGCCUUCUGUCUCAUGACUGACACCCUUCCUUGGUUCCUGUCAUCUGUAGCCAGGUAUGCUGGGUGCUGGAGAGAGCCCUGGACUUGGAGUCAAAAGACUGCAGUUGGAGCAGAGGAUCUUCCCUCAGAAGUUCUGCUGUGGGCUGAGUCGUUUCACCUCUCUGGGCCCCAUAUGGACCUUUGUAAAACUGAGUGGAGGCGAGGAGGUGCAGCAGGUCCAUAAAUUCAUCAGCUUCCCAGGCUGCUUCCACCUUUGCUACAUGUGGCCUCAUCCUUACAGCCCAAGAUGGCUCCUAGGGCUCUAGCCAUCACAUCCUGGUACCAGAGAGCAAGAUGACUGAAGGGGAGGAAAGAGAGCAUGUGCUUGUCUCGUGAAGAGAUUUCCUGGAAGUUACACAAAACAUUUCUGUUUUCAGCUUGUUGACUAGAACAUAGUCGUCUGUCAUACUUAGUGUGGAGGGUGACCAAAGAGGGAGUGUUUUGUCUGAAUAGCAUUGCAUCCAGCCAGAUAGCGAGGGCAAGUAGCUGGAGGGAAGAGGAAGACAGACAUUGUAGAGGAAGCUAGCAGUGACUCCCC
rnacentral:lncRNA from 1 species